GAAGAAAAAAACGAUGGAAAUGUAUGCACUCGCUACUGGCUGUCGGUGCUAAGCUGUUAAAAUGGCUGACAGUGUGCCUGUCUGACUUCAUGCAGUGCAGCGGUGCUGUGAUUGGACGAGCAGAACAUGUAGCAGAAGUGACUGGGUACAGUACGCUGAGGAACUAGCUGGAGGAUAGAAGUGGAGCUUCUAGUGAUUCAUCUCUUCUCCACCCCCCAUCCUCCCAGUCCCAGCCAGGCCUGGCUGUGGGGGGCUUCCUCAACACACACGUAUACUGAGAGGAAGCGUGUUCUUUCGCUGAUCAAGGGUGCUUGACAUUCUAGAGCCCCAGAUUUCUCCAGUCAAGGGGAAGAGAGUGUUGAGAGGGCAGAGUAGAGCAGCGCAUUCAAGCACACACAGUUUGGUAACUUGAACAAAAAUAUGCUGUUUCCCUCCGUCCCACCGUCCGUAGUCUGUCUCUCUUUCUCUCCCUACACAAUCUUCCUCUUUCUGUCUAUGUUCUCUCAAUCACAUUGAUUGUCUGUCUGUCAGUCCAUCCCCUCCAUUUUACCCAACCUGUCUCUGUGGCAUUCUCUCUCCUGGGUCUUAUCCUUCUUCUGUCAAAUUCCACCAUCUCUCUUCUCAACAUCAUCCUUCCUCUGACAGAUGUGUUUUAUUCCCUGUCUCCGUCUCUCUCCUCCUUGUCCUGACACUGGCCCUCUCCUUUUAACAGACCUUUUAUGAUAUGACUGCA